rnacentral:rRNA from 1 species
UACGUAGGGUGCAAGCGUUGUCCGGAAUUAUUGGGCGUAAAGAGCUCGUAGGCGGUCUGUCGCGUCUGCUGUGAAAACUCAGGGCUUAACCCUGAGCUUGCAGUGGGUACGGGCAGACUAGAGUGCGGUAGGGGUGACUGGAAUUCCUGGUGUAGCGGUGGAAUGCGCAGAUAUCAGGAGGAACACCGAUGGCGAAGGCAGGUCACUGGGCCGCAACUGACGCUGAGGAGCGAAAGCGUGGGGAGCAAACAGG